GAUGAACGCUGGCGGCGUGCCUAAUACAUGCAAGUCGAGCGAGCAGACGAGGAGCUUGCUCCUCUGACGUUAGCGGCGGACGGGUGAGUAACACGUGGAUAACCUACCUAUAAGACUGGGAUAACUUCGGGAAACCGGAGCUAAUACCGGAUAAUAUAUUGAACCGCAUGGUUCAAUAGUGAAAGACGGUUUUGCUGUCACUUAUAGAUGGAUCCGCGCCGCAUUAGCUAGUUGGUAAGGUAACGGCUUACCAAGGCAACGAUGCGUAGCCGACCUGAGAGGGUAAUCGGCCACACUGGAACUGAGACACGGUCCAGACUCCUACGGGAGGCAGCAGUAGGGAAUCUUCCGCAAUGGGCGAAAGCCUGACGGAGCAACGCCGCGUGAGUGAUGAAGGUCUUCGGAUCGUAAAACUCUGUUAUUAGGGAAGAACAAAUGUGUAAGUAACUAUGCACGUCUUGACGGUACCUAAUCAGAAAGCCACGGCUAACUACGUG
rnacentral:rRNA from 1 species